CUGUUAUUUAUGACCGUUGUUGUGCGAUGGGGUUCAUACCUUUAUCUGCCAAAACGGGACCUCUGUUGAGGUAUAACCAAUAUUCCGUACUAAGGAUUUCGGUCCGGAACGUCUAGAGACUACACGGCAGACCAAUUUUGUGGUGGUAUGAAUGGAUAGUCCCUAGUUACCAUCUAGGCAUCCCAUACAAAAUGGUUA
rnacentral:autocatalytically_spliced_intron from 2 species